CGUAGGGCGCAAGCGUUGUCCGGAAUUAUUGGGCGUAAAGAGCUCGUAGGCGGCUUGUCACGUCGGAUGUGAAAGCCCGGGGCUUAACCCCGGGUCUGCAUUCGAUACGGGCUAGCUAGAGUGUGUAGGGGAGAUCGGAAUUCCUGGUGUAGCGGUGAAAUGCGCAGAUAUCAGGAGGAACACCGGUGGCGAAGGCGGAUCUCUGGGCCAUUACUGACGCUGAGGAGCGAAAGCGUGGGGAGCGAACAGGAUUAGAUACCCUGGUAGUCCACGCCGUAAACGUUGGGAACUAGGUGUUGGCGACAUUCCACGUCGUCGGUGCCGCAGCUAACGCAUUAAGUUCCCCGCCUGGGGAGUACGGCCGCAAGGCUA
rnacentral:rRNA from 1 species